rnacentral:rRNA from 1 species
AUUGAACGCUGGCGGCAUGCCUUACACAUGCAAGUCGAACGGUAACGGGCCUUCGGGUGCCGACGAGUGGCGAACGGGUGAGUAAUGUAUCGGAACGUACCAUUGAGUGGGGGAUAACGUAGCGAAAGUUACGCUAAUACCGCAUAUUCUCUCCGGAGGAAAGCAGGGGACCGCAAGGCCUUGCGCUCUUUGAGCGGCCGAUAUCAGAUUAGCUAGUUGGUGGGGUAAAAGCUCACCAAGGCGACGAUCUGUAGCGGGUCUGAGAGGAUGAUCCGCCACACUGGAACUGAGACACGGUCCAGACUCCUACGGGAGGCAGCAGUGGGGAAUUUUGGACAAUGGGGGCAACCCUGAUCCAGCCAUGCCGCGUGAGUGAAGAAGGCCUUCGGGUUGUAAAGCUCUUUCAGCCGGGAAGAAAUCGCAUGGGCUAAUACCCCGUGCGGAUGACGGUACCGGAAUAAGAAGCACCGGCUAACUACGUGCCAGCCGCCGCGGUAACAC